UUGCCGGCGACCGGCGGACGGGUGCGUAACGCGUAUGUAACCUACCUUUGACAGGGGGAUAACAUCGAGAAAUUGGUACUAAUACCCCAUAACAUCACCGGAGGCAUCUUCGGUGGUUGAAAACUCAGGUGGUCAGAGAUGGGCAUGCGUUGUAUUAGCUAGUUGGUGAGGUAACGGCUCACCAAGGCGACGAUACAUAGGGGGACUGAGAGGUCAACCCCCCACAUUGGUACUGAGACACGGACCAAACUCCUACGGAAGGCAGCAG
rnacentral:rRNA from 1 species